rnacentral:rRNA from 1 species
GACGAACGCUGGCGGCGUGCUUAACACAUGCAAGUCGAACGGUGAAGCGCUUGCCUUUUUGGUGGGUGUGGAUGAGUGGCGAACGGGUGAGUAACACGUGAGUAACCUGCCCUCUUCUUCUGGAUAACCUCAUGAAAGUGGGGCUAAUACGGGGUAUUCCGGGUCUGUCGCAUGGCGGGUUUGGGAAAGAUUGCGCCUUUGGGUGUUUUCGGUGGGGGAUGGGCUCGCGGCCUAUCAGCUUGUUGGUGGGGUGAUGGCCUACCAAGGCGGUGACGGGUAGCCGGCCUGAGAGGGUGGACGGCCACACUGGGACUGAGACACGGCCCAGACUCCUGCGGGAGGCAGCAGUGGGGAAUAUUGCACAAUGGGCGCAAGCCUGAUGCAGCGACGCCGCGUGAGGGAUGGAGGCCUUCGGGUUGUGAACCUCUUUCGCCAGUGAAGCAGGCCUGCUCCUGUGUGGGUGGGUUGACGGUAGCUGGAUAAGAAGCGCCGGCUAACUACGU